CUUUUUUAAUACAGUGUUGGUCUCUGCUGUUGCUGCUGGAUCUCUGUUGAUUGUAGCUACAGUCGGGAUCUUCUGCAUCU